rnacentral:rRNA from 1 species
GACGAACGCUGGCGGCGUGCCUAAUACAUGCAAGUAGAACGCUGAAGAGAGGAGCUUGCUCUUCUUGGCUGAGUUGCGAACGGGUGAGUAACGCGUAGGUAACCUGCCUGGUAGCGGGGGAUAACUAUUGGAAACGAUAGCUAAUACCGCAUAAAAUUGAUUAUUGCAUGAUAAUUAAUUGAAAGAUGCAACUGCAUCACUACCAGAUGGACCUGCGUUGUAUUAGCUAGUUGGUGAGGUAACGGCUCACCAAGGCGACGAUACAUAGCCGACCUGAGAGGGUGAUCGGCCACACUGGGACUGAGACACGGCCCAGAAUCCUACGGGAGGCAGCAGUAGGGAAUCUUCGGCAAUAGGGGGAACCCUGACCGAGCAACGCCGCGUGAGUGAAGAAGGUUUUCGGAUCGUAAAGCUCUGUUGUAAGAGAAGAACGGGUGUGAGAGUGGAAAGUUCACACUGUGACGGUAUCUUACCAGAAAGGGACGGCUAACUACGUG